rnacentral:rRNA from 1 species
UACGAAGGAUGCAAGCGUUAUCCGGAUUUAUUGGGUUUAAAGGGUGCGUAGGUGGUUUAUUAAGUCAGGGGUGAAAGACGGCAGCUUAACUGUCGCAGUGCCUUUGAUACUGAUGAACUUGAAUAAACUAGAGGUAGGCGGAAUGUGACAAGUAGCGGUGAAAUGCAUAGAUAUGUCACAGAACACCAAUUGCGAAGGCAGCUUACUAUGGUUUGAUUGACACUGAGGCACGAAAGCGUGGGGAUCAAACAGG